ensembl:lincRNA
GAGAGGAGGGGGGGUGCGGGGGAGGAGCCGACAGUUUGAUGAUGAUGAAUAUGGCCUGCAAAGGUUAAUUAAAAACUGUUUUGCAGCCAACAAAUGCCGGGCUUUAGUGAUUUAAUACGGGAAUAUUUCAUAUGCCAUAUUGUGCGAAUACAUUUAUUGAAUAACUAAUAGGACUUUCUCAUCAUAACAACCUAUGUAGCCUUCUAGAAUUUUUAUGAUAUAAAAAAGAUAAUUUUAAAUGAAAACAUUUUAUAGAGUGCUCUAACCCUCCAUCUCUUCUUUUUUUUUUCCUCCAGCGAUUGAACAGGAGAAGCAAGCUGGCGAAUCGUAAUGAGGCGAGCGCCGCCAAUAUGCACUGUACAUUCCACAAGCAUUGCCUUCUUAUUUUACUUCUUUUAGCUGUUUAACUUUGUUAGAUGCAAAGAGGUUGGAUCAAGUUUAAAUGACUGUGCUGCCCCUUUCACAUCAAAGAAUCAGAACUACUGACCAGGAAGGCCUCCCCUGCCUCUCCCACCCAUCUGUUGGUGAAAGAAAAAGCUGGGUGGGAGGUGGUGAAAUACAGAAAAAAAUUCAAGAUGGUCCAAGGUGUCCUGCAGGAUGUAAAAUGCAGUUUGAUCAGAGUGCCAUUUUUUUUGUUCAAAUGAUUUUAAUUAUUGGAAUGCACAAUUUUUUUAAUAUGCAAAUAAAGUUUUAAAACCUGGCUGGCGGUGUCUGUUUGGUAUUUGGAAGGAGUAGUUGAAUGGGAGCUGAAACCUUUGCAAAAGUGCCUGCCUCUUGAGUCACUGGGACAUAGACGUGGACAUGACAAACAUAAACAGCUUUGACAUAGCUCUCGGGUUUAUGAAAUACCUUGUCUAUAGCAAAUAAUUGGGAGGGGGUCAUCUUAAGCUGACUGUAAGUUCCUCAUGGGUUACAUGAAAGAUAUCCGCUGUUGGAAGAAGGGGGAUAUGGAAUGAAAGGGGAGGAUGGCCGGCCUGGGAAGCUGACAGGUACUUUUGAGCCAUUUAUGGGUUUUAAUAAGUCAACAGGGAAUUUAUUGCAUAUCACUCAAGAAAAUAAAAGGUGGUUCAGCACAAUUACUUGGGCAUCAAAAUGAACUUGGAUUAAUUACCUCUUAUCCAGCAAGCAAAUUUGGGACAAUCAUGUGAGGUCAAAAUAAAACCCACAUUUUAGCACGUGCUUUAGACAGGAAUUUAGAAUUUUGUCCUCAUCGAAUGGCUGGCGUGCAAUUGAAGCUCCAUAUUUAAAAUUAGCUUUUUAAAAGCAAAUGCAUUUAUCAUUAGAGAAUGAUUUGAACUUGGUGAGAUCCUAAUAAGGAAUGCUUGGGUUUAGAUGGCAAAUGCAGGACAGGUGAAUCUGGGCCAAGUUUAAACCAGCAGAUAACCAUCAGCUGACCUGAAGGUCUUUUCUAGAGUCCUCCCCCUAAUCUUCAAUCAUCUAAGCUACAUACAUAUAUUAUUAGUUGGUGGGUGCAAGCAAAGCCCUUGUUUUGGCCAAGCCACAGCAUGUAGCAAGAGGGAAAAUGAGCUAUCAAUUUUCUAACAGUAAAAUGAACGUGCUUGAGACUCUGUUCUUUAUAAAGGGUGCAGGUUUAUUAAGCCAAAUACAACAAUAUUUAAGAUCAGUAGCUCACCCAAUAUCUCAGCAAGGAUAAAAUAUACACGCAAAUGUCCACAGUGAACUUUCCCCCAAAAACUAGUUUGUGAAAACACAGGUUUGCAGUGGAGGGCACGGGGGAUGGGGUGGGGUGGAGAGUGCUGUGCAUUACUAAACCCAGUAGAUUGCCUUUGCUCAACACUUCCUUUGAGAAAUGCACAUGAAACCACGGACCUGUGGUUUAGACAAUCAAGGAGACGAUAAGUGAACAGGCCUUUAUCUGCCUGUCAGGGGUAGGAUGGGUGGAUGUGUCGGGCCACGGUUUGUUCAUCCAGUGGAGAGGAGACAGAAGGAGCCAGCACAAAGGUUCUCCGAGUGGCAGUCCUGUAGCCUUGACAGUUCUUUACUGACCUACAAGGCAGCGUAUAGGCUCAAAUGAAAAUCUCCAAACCACAAAGAGAAACCAGACCCAUGCAAGUUUUUGUUGUGUGCAUUUUCUACACAAUUGGAGAUGAAGGCUUGAGUUUUGCUUUGUUUUUUAAUUCACACAAUUCCAGGCUUCCUUGGUUUAAAAAGGGAAGGGAAGGGAAUAAUUCCGAAUGGUCAGUGAUGAAAAAGCUGCCCAUUCUGCCUCAGGAAGUCCAAGACAAAAUGUUGUGGGUAGAAUUAGACAAAGGGUAGAAUUAGAAAUCUAGGGCUGAGGAUAUAGCUAAAUUAGUAGAGUAAUUGCCUAACAUGCAUGAAGCAUGGGGUUUGGUUCCUAAAACUGCAUAAUCCUAGCAUGGUGGUGGAGGAUGGCCGGCUAUUCAAGUCACCCUCAGCUACAUAGGAGGAGGCCAGACUGGGACAUAAG